rnacentral:rRNA from 1 species
UACGAACCGUGCGAACGUUGUUCGGAAUCACUGGGCUUAAAGGGCGCGUAGGCGGGCUGUCAAGUCUGGGGUGAAAUGCCGCGGCUCAACCGUGGAACUGCCUUAGAUACUGACGGCCUCGAGGAAGGUAGGGGCAUGCGGAACUGUAGGUGGAGCGGUGAAAUGCGUUGAUAUCUACAGGAACUCCGGUGGCGAAAGCGGCGUGCUGGACCUUUUCUGACGCUGAGGCGCGAAAGCUAGGGGAGCAAACGGG